UACGGAGGAUGCAAGCGUUAUCCGGAAUGAUUGGGCGUAAAGCGUCCGCAGGUGGCUAUGUAAGUCUGCUGUUAAAGAGUGAGGCUCAACCUCAUAAGAGCAGUGGAAACUACAUAGCUAGAGUGCGUUCGGGGCAGAGGGAAUUCCUGGUGUAGCGGUGAAAUGCGUAGAUAUCAGGAGGAACACCGGUGGCGAAGGCGGCAUCCUGGACCGGCAUUGACGCUGAGGCGCGAAAGCCAGGGGAGCAAACGGG
rnacentral:rRNA from 1 species